AUUGAACGCUGGCGGCAGGCCUAACACAUGCAAGUCGAACGGCAGCGGGGGGUAGCUUGCUACCCCGCCGGCGAGUGGCGGACGGGUGAGUAAUGCCUGGGGAGCUGCCCAAUCGAGGGGGAUACCAGUUGGAAACGACUGCUAAUACCGCAUACGCCCUGAGGGGGAAAGGUGGGGAUCUUCGGACCUACCGCGAUUGGAUGCACCCAGGUGGGAUUAGCUAGUUGGUGAGGUAACGGCUCACCAAGGCGACGAUCUCUAGCUGGUCUGAGAGGAUGACCAGCCACACUGGAACUGAGACACGGUCCAGACUCCUACGGGAGGCAGCAGUGGGGAAUAUUGCACAAUGGGGGAAACCCUGAUGCAGCCAUGCCGCGUGUGUGAAGAAGGCCUUAGGGUUGUAAAGCACUUUCAGUGGGGAGGAAAGGUUGGCAGCUAAUACCUGUCGGCUGUGACGUUACCCACAGAAGAAGCACCGGCUAACUCCGUGCCAGCAGCCGCAGUAA
rnacentral:rRNA from 1 species